rnacentral:lncRNA from 1 species
CUUUCAAGAAGCACACUGCCACCCUGGCUGGUGGCUCAGGACAAGAGGGGGGUGGGGUUGGGGUAUGGUGAGCAGGUGGGUCUCAGGGUGGAGGACCUCAGGGAGAUGGACACGCGGGGCGGCUGGAAAGUCAAAGGCGGCAGCAUCGAAGGCUCUCUGAGGGUUCAGCCUGCUUGCCUCCCGCAGGGCCGGCUUCUCACCCUUUCUUAAUCAGCCUCUGCAGCCAACCCAUCUCACACAGGGCCCAGCAUGCCUGCUCCUGCCUCCACUCAGCACAGCCCCUCCAGCCAAGGAUUCUUGAGAAACACUUGGCGCAGAGAUAAAGAAACACACAAUGGAAGCUAAGGAGCCCAGGGUUCCUGGAGGGAAACUUUUCUUGCUUUGGUUGUGCGACCCAUUUGGAGCUCCCACUCACUUGCCUGUGGGCAUAACUCUUGCCCCUGCUGCUGUUGCUCGAGUCCCGCUCCUGUUCAGACGGUGAGGAGGGGUUUCGUGGCACACAGCAUGGCCAGCACUGUGCCGGCUUUGCUGGCUGCUUUGUUCUGAAGCAGCGUUGGGUGCUCAGAGCCUCUGGUCCCGGCCAGGAAUAGAAAUGCGCCCCGUGAUCACCGUCAGCAUCUGGGCCAAGCAUGACCCGGCUGAACCGCUGGGGACUAGCAGAGGGGGAGGCGUCUGGCCUCCCGUUUCAGUAAAGGUGAAAGUCCCUCACCAGUGUGCAGAGAGGGGCUGCUGGCAACCAGCAACCCAGUGGUCUUCCAAGCAGGGAUCCUGAGGGGCCAUGAUAGUGGGGAUGGUUAACUUCAUGUGUCAACUUGGCUGGGCUAAGGGAUGCCUAGAAAGCUGACAAAACAUUAUUUCUGUGUCUGGGAGAGUGUUUCUGGAAGAGAUCAGCAUUUGAAUUAGUAGACUGACUCGAGUAGCUCGCCUCACCAACAUGGGCUGGUGUUAUCCAUUCCUUUGAGACAGAAUAGAACAAAAAAGCAAAAGCAGGGUGAAUUUUCUCUCUCUUUUCUUGAGCUGGGAUGCCCAUGUUCUCCUGCUCUUGGACAUCAGAGCUCCCGGUUCUCACGCAUUCCGGCUCGGGCUGCGUUACCCAGCAGGCUGUCCUGGGCUCCAGCUGGCAGACGGCAGAUGGCGGGCCUCCUCAGCCUCCAAGAUCACAUGAACCAGUUCCCAUGAUAAACCUCCUCUUAUACGUCUCUGUAUAGGAUGCUGUUGGCCCUGUUUCUCUGGAGAGCCCUGACUAACCCAUGGGCCCCUGCUGGGAGCCUGCUUGGGCAUCCUGCAGCCCUCCCCUCCUCCCUCUUUCCAGUCAUGUAAAGAAGUAACUGUGUGAAGGGGACAGGAGCGGUCGUCCCCUAGGGCAUGUGGAGAGCGCCCUCCUUGGCCUCCACAGGCUCAUUUGGGGGCCCUUCAGUUCUGCCCGCUUCUCUCCACGUCCCUGUGCUGCCCUAGGCAGACACCAUACCUCUUUCCUGGACCUCUGCAGUAGCUUUCCCCACUCACACAGUCUAUUCUCUACGUUGCCGACAGAGGGAGCUUUAAAACACAGACAUGGUUGCCCACCCUCCCUCUUAGGAUUCUUUACAAGUUUUCUCUUGCCUUUGACCUAGAAGACUGAGCCGGCUUCCUGCUCAUUCUCACCUCAGUCCUUCCUCUGCCUCUCUUCCCCUUCUCCUCUGUCUCAGUUUUAGCCAAGCUCUCUAGAGCCUCGCUGGGUAUUUCAUAUGCUGUUCCCUCCACCAGAACAUCCUCUUUCACUCUCUAAAAGUGACCUGCCAUGCUGUCCCCCACAACUGGAUGAAAUUCUCCUAUGACCCCUCCACACUUUGCGCUGUAGUAAUUAUUUGCCCAGUAGCUAUUGUCUAGUUAUUUUAUUUAAUUUAACUUUUGACUUCCUCAUUACAAUGUGGUCUCCAUGAGCAUACGCACUAUUAUGGGCUGAGUUCUGUGCCCCCAAAAUUCAUAUGGUAAGGUCCAAACCCCCAGGACCUCAGAAUGUGACUGGACUUGGAGAAAAGGUCCUUAAAGAGGUAAUUAAGUUAAAACGAGGUAAUUGAGGUGGUCCUAAUCCAAUAUGACUAGUGUCCUUAUAAGAAGAGGAGAAUUAGACACACACACAGAGGGAAGACCGUGUGAAGACACUGGGAGCAGACGGCCAUCCACAAGCCAAGGAGGAAGAUCUCAGAAGAAGUCACCACUGCAGACCCCUGAUCUUGGAUUUCCAGCCUGCAAAACUGUGAGGCCACGAAUGUCUGUUAUGCAUGCCGCUCAGGCUGGGGCCUUUUUUGUGCAGCAAACCAUUCCAGGCACCUGAACUCAUUUACCCCAUGUCUACAGCACCGAGCACAGUACCUUCUGACUGACUGGCCAGGACCCCACCAGGCAGAAGCUGCAGGGGCUCCAGCACCUCGGGCAGGGCCACCCUGCCUCCAUUGUCUCUGUGAUGUUGGGCCUGGCAUAAGGAGUCUUAGGAAACAGCUGUUGGGUGAAUGAGUACAGAAUCUCCAAGCAGAAGACAGCGUGAAUGUGGUCCAUGAGUGGGCUGGAUCCCUCUGCCAGGGGCUGACCAAGCCUGCUCCCCUCAAGCACUGUGCUUCCCAGGUUUGCAGUUACUCAUUCAAAGCCAGCCUUCCUUUCCUGAUCGCCAAUUCCGCCCUCCUGCCAUGUCUGUCGGGCCAGCCCGGCAUGUGUGCAUGCUCUAUCAACGUGCGUUCUCCAGUGAACGGGUGGAUGCAGCCUGGAGCCAUUGACGGAGCGUGGACGGGUGGCUUUCCUCCACAACACUGCCUUCCUACAUCCUGGCUUCUAUCUGGCUCCAUUUUUUAGGACAUUGAGAAAGAAGACUUCCUCUAAACUAAGACUUCUUCUCCAUAUUCAUAAUUGUGUCCAAGUCCGUGAAUGUUUCCUGUGGAACUUUUUCAGAUCUGGUUUUCAUAUCUCAUCUUCAUAAAUAUGGUAUGGUGACCAUCUGAUGGUCCAACUUCUCAGCCUUUGCUGGGGGGUUUCUGGGGGCCGUGUCUUGAGGGGAAGCAGCCCUGAGGGCUGGGCAUUUGCUGUUCUUACCUGACCAGUCAUAUCUCCUUCCAUUGUGCUACCAGCACUAUGCGGGUGUCCUCUCAUCUUCACUCUCAACCAUGUGGUUUGGGCCGGUGACAGCUUAGGGACAGCCUUUAUCUCAGACCCCUUCAGUCAGCAUAUUCCUGUCUUCUGUCCACAAAGGCCAAGUUAGGGAGAUUAACAUGGACCCAGGCUGAACCAGUGGAGUCCACGGGUUUUGGAUCCCAGGACUUUGACUGGGACCACUGAGAAAGAGAAGCUCUCUUCCUGUGGUGACGGCUAAGAUGUUGGUUAUCCUAAACCUGCUGGUGACAAUAUUGCCUUGAUGUAGGGAGAGCUUGCCUGAAAAAGGAGCCAACAUGGAGCAAAGCAGACAAUACUCGAGAAUAGCAUGUAAGCACCCAGAUGCAGCUGUGCCCGAAGUAAAAUAUACCUUAACCAGUUUCUUAGUGGAUACGCUGUGGGCACUUCAAGCAGGAUGCUCUUCACUGUGUGGGGUUAUUCCACACAUUGCAGGAUGCUCAAUAUGCCCAAUCCCCACGAGCAAAAUGUGGGUAAUUUCCCCAGUCAUUGUAACAACCAGAACCACCCCCAUCAUUUCCACAUAUCUCAGAUGACCACCCUCAGCUUUUCAAUUACUUGAGUCAAGAAUUUCCCCAUUUCACUUAUUCUAGCAGGUUUUUUGACAUUUUCAAAUGACAGGGCCCUGACUAAUGACACUGUCACAAAUUUCUGGGUAUCUGGGAUUUACUCCUUAGCACACCAGCUGAUCUUGGUGUAGCCUGACAGAGCACAGGACUAGUUCAGGGGAGACCCAAUGACAGGCCUCGGCAUGGCAGGGCCAGCCUCAAAUGUUGGGCGACAACAGCUAGAUCUGAGCCUAGCAACUCCGGCUCACAGGACCAAGAUGCACUCCCUUGUGGGUGGCCAGGUGUGGCCUCCUUUGAGAUAUUAAGGAACUACUUGCAAGGACAAGAGGAAAUGAGAAGAGAACUCCAGCAACACGUUCAAAUAACAAAGAUCUUGACAAGACCCAGAGAGAUGGCCACGGGCUCUGGCAGGGCCGGGGCUGGAGCUGGCUGCGGGGGGAGGGCCUCUGGGCCUCAGCAGCUUCGUCUGAGCAGCACAGGCUUUGUGAGGGGAUGCUGUGUUCUCCCCCGACAUGCAGGGUCUGAGCACAAGGAGAGACAGCAAUCUCAGUGGUGGAAGGGACUGGUGAGGCUCUAGUCCUUGUUCCCUGUAGUGUAGGCCCCGGUCGGGCUUCCUGAGGUACGGCUCAGAGCUGGCCGCUCUGGCGAACAAUCGUCCACAGCUCCCGCACCGGGAGCCAAGCAUGACUCCUCCUGGCAUCAGGUGUGAGGCCCAGCCUCGCUGUGUAUGCACGUGUGGGCCUAACCACAUACCCGGCCUCGUGCUGCCUCCGUUUCUCUACCUAUGAAGCAUCUGACAACAGUGCCCACCUCAUGAGGGAUUUAGUGCUGACAGAGAGUGAGUGCUGGCUGCCAGAACCAUCAUUUGAGGAUUUCUGCUGCAUUCAAGAGAAAGCCAGAGACUGGAAGUCAGAAGCCCUGGUUCUGCCAUUCCUUUAAGCCAGCGCUAAUAACAAACUUCUCAGAGUCUCUAUUUCUUAUCUAUAAAUUGGGAAUGAUAAAGACCACACCUCAGGGAUGUUGUGAGGAUGAAGUCAGAUAAUAUUUGUGAAAAUACCUCAUAAAUAAAGAUCUGGGAUGGUAUCUCAGUCCCCCAUUUGGAGAGCCCCUAGACACUGGCCUCCCCCUUUUAGAAGAGCACACUAGAGAGAGACUCACCGAGGCCUCCAGCAGGCCUGCGCCCUCUUCCGUGAACACUCACAAGGCUCUGUGCAGGCGCUCCUCCCAGAUUAGCCUGCCUCACUCCCAGCCAGUUGUGUGUUGUCUCGGAGGCCCGCUGAGAGCCGGUUGCCCUCUCCCUCCCUGCAG